GCUUCUCUUGUGAGGGCUGUGGGAGGUGGUACCUUAGGCAGAGGCCAGAGUUCCAGGAGCAUGAGGGAACACCUACCGUGUCAUGUAUGUGAAUUGUGACCAUCGGGGUUAAGACCUCAGCUCGACUGGAGACCAGCCUGAAAUUCCCCACAAUGGAUGACCACUUUCAACUAAUUCUGAAUUUGGAAAUAUAAGUAAUCAUUUACUGGCGGCAUUAUCAUAGCUACCACACAGAAAAUUAAAGGGAAUAAGUGACUCCAGUGCACACACAGAGUCAAGAAAUGAAAAGCAUCAUCUAUUUCUCCCAAAGUCGCAAGAUUCUAAGGGACAAUUGUUAAUUAGAAAGAAAAAAAUCAAACAUUUUCCUCACUUUUCUCCCAUGUCAAUCACCUUUCUGUUACUAUGAUAAACAUCUGAGAUAAUCACGUCAUAGGAAAUUUUAUGUUGGAUCAAGGUUUAGAGAUACUUCUCCACAGUCACUUGGCCUUACUUCUUUGUGUUUCUGAUAGGGCAAUCAUGAGAGAAAGCAUGUAGUGAAAGUAGCCUGUACCCCUUAUGGUGUUUGGAAAGUACAAGGGGUGAGGAAAAGAGAGCUAUUGAAGCUGUGGUCCUGGUGUCACGGGCAUAUAUCCAGAAGAUGUUCCAACCGGAUUAAAUUACAGUAGGAAGACAAAUAAGGAAACAAAUACUGACUGUCAAAAGCUGUCCUCUCUCUGGAAAAUAUCAUAGACAUUUCAGAGGAAUGGAGGAAGGUCUUGGCUCAUGGAGGCCUGCUUUUGUCAGAAAAGAGGAAGUGUGGGGAUCUGGAAGGAGAGGAUCGGGGGUGUCUGAGUUUGGGUUUUACAUCUGUGAAGAGACAACAUAUCCAAGGCAAAUCUUAUAAAGGACAACAUUUAACUGGGGAUGGCCUACAGGUUCAGAGGUUCAGUCCAUUAUCAUCAAGGCAGGAGCAUGGCAGCAUCCAGGCAGACAUGGUGCAAGAGGAGCUGAGAGUUCAACGUCUUCAUCCAAAGGCAGACAGGAAAUGACUUCCAGACAGCUAGGACAAGGGUCAUAAAACUACAGUGUCACACUACCUCCUCCAGCAAGGCCACACCUCCUCCAGCAAGGCCACACCUCCUCCAACAAGGCCACACCUCCUCCAGCAAGGCCACACCUCCUCCAACAAGGCCACACCUCCUCCAACAAGACCACACCUCCUCCAACAAGGCCACACCUCCUCCAACAAGGCCAUACCUCCUCCAACAAGGCCACACCUCCUCCAACAAGGCCACACCUCCUCCAUCAAGGCCACACCUCCUUGCACCCAACCAAUGAACAGAAGCAGCUGACCCCUGUUGUUGAAUUAGGGAAAGGCUGAAAGAAGCCGAGGAGAAGGGCGAUCCUGUAGGAGGACCAGCAGUCUCAAUUCAUCUGGACCCCCGAGAUCUCUCAAACACUGGACCACCAAACAGACAGCAUACACCAGCUGGUUUGAGGCCACCAACACACAUACAGUAGAGGACUUCCAGGAAAGAUCUACAUUCUAAACUUUCCCAAAUAGUAUCACCAGCUGUGCGGACCAAAUGUUCAAAUGUAGGAGCCCAUGGAAGACUCAUUUAAACCACAACAGCUGGCUCUGAAGAAGAAGAAAAAAAAAAACUAAACUAGAAGUGGACACAUGUUCAACAAAACAUCAGUUAAAAAGAUCAACCACCUAGUGCAAAAGUAACAGGAUGGAAUGACAUGGGAAAAGCAAAAGUUGAGCGACCAAGAGGUGAAAGGGUGACUUGUUCAAGCAUCCUCAAGUAGAAGCAUUGAAUACAAAAAAUCAAGAGAAAUUUUGGAAAUUGAAUACACAGAGCAGAAUGGCUCAUUCGAUGCAUCAUGGUCAAGGCAACUCAUAGAAGACAGAGUUUACUUUGUGCAUAUCAUUUCAGCAUCAUCGAAUCCAUGACCUACUGUUCUAUCAGGAGCAUAGAUGGCAUCAGGAAGGCAGACAUGGAGCUGGAACAGUACCUAUGAGUUCACAUCUUGAGAACAUGGCAGAGACAAAUAACUUUUGGAAAAAUUCAGUGUUUAGUUUUUAAAGGAUUAAUUCUGGUACCCACAGAAGUCAGAGGAGGUCGUUAGAUCCUUUGGAACUCGAGUUAUGGAUGGUUGUGAGCUACCAAGGGAGUACUUGGAAUCAAAACCCGGUCCUCUGCAAGAGCAGAAUGUGCUCCUGACUUCUGAGACAUCUCUCCAAUCCAUCAGGUCUUCUUUAUCGCAGGGUCCUCCUGAUACACAGGCUGAAACCAAUAGGCCCAAGGAGCCAUGAAUUGAAAACAUGAGUCGCCCCACAAAUGGAUCAUUUGACCUCAAAGGGGUCACAGCUCACAUACUGAGAACCAGCACUUUAAGGCUUUCUUGAAGUCUUCUAAACAAUACUAGUUUCCAGAACAACCUGAAGUGCAAACAUAUUAAAGGUCUUUUGUUAAAUUUUCUAUCAAUAUUCAUGAGUGUUUCAGGCUUUUUUUCUCUUUCUCACUGUGAUGAAUUGGCGAGAAUGACUGACUCUUCCAAAUCUCAUCACAUGUUGGACAUGGAACUUCUGGCUGCAAUUUAAGAGACAUUUCUAUAACAACUCAAAGGAAAAUGCUGAGCAGUGUCGUCCUUCAUCAUCCUUCGUCAUCCUUCGUCAUCCUUCGUCAUCCUUCGUCGUCCUUCGUCGUCCUUCAUCGUCCUUCGUCGUCCUUCGUCGUCCUUCGUCAUCCUUCGCCGUCCUUCGUCAUCCUUCCUCAUCCUUCGUCAUCCUUUGUCAUCCUUCGUCAUCCUUCGUCCUCAGCCUUUCAUCACAUCCUUGAGCCCAAGUCCAGCUACUCUCAUUUCUCUUCCAACCUGGUCAUUUCUGUCUGUAUUUCAUUUCUGUUUCUAUCUGUAGCUUGAAUAAGAAUACGUUAUUUUUUUUAAUUCUAAGAUCUCUAAUUGACAUUUAUUUUCAAUUCUAUGUU
rnacentral:lncRNA from 1 species